UCCCUCUGUACUUGUGGCCUUCUGAAGGCUUGCCAUCUGUGGGACUAGCAGUCCUUAGUGGCUUCAAGCAUCCUGUUGGAAUUUGAAUCGAUCUUUUCUUUGUUUAAACUAGCAUGGUCUAAAACUAGUUGGUUCAGGGUGCAUGGCACACAGAGUGCUUGGCUGAGAAUGUCCAGGCAGCGUGAGGAUCCUUAUGAGGAAAAUCCAUUUUCUUCAGCAAGAGCUGCCUCCAGACCCUGGGAGCCCUGGAACAACUGCAGCUGUGCCUUUCACUAAUCUGCUCUAGCAGAGUCCUGCUGUGGUUCCUGACUUUUAAUCUGAAGGUCAACAGGUUGGGCUCAUUCAACAGCAAAAUCUGCAGUCACCAUAGUGUCACUGAUGCCAUGUCCCAAGAUGCAUCCCAGUAAGGUUUUCCAGAAGUGAAAAGAUGACAGUUCUGACAAAGGCCAAUGAAGUGGGAAUUAUCAAAGCAACAUAAAAGGGGAGUGUGUUCACUGAAGAAAAGAGAAGUUUCCUUCUGGGAUUGGGGGAAAGGACAGAAAUGAAAUGAAGCCUUCUUAAAUGAGAGAGAGGUCCUACUGGGGGAAGCUGCAGUCUGACGGGGACCAGACUCCAUGGUGAAGUGCAGUAAGUGAAGAGGAAGAAGCAUCAGGAAGAGACCGUGGAAAAAGUAUGUUAAAAAAGGUGACUGCUACUCUUUCAGCAAGGGAAGCAUCCUCUUCUCUGGCUGAUGCGUCCCCUAAUUCGGAUAUGUGAUGGUGCUCCCUCCUUUGCACGCAGAUCUGGCUGCUUGACUUCAUAGCAAUCCUCUGCUGCCCAGCCAGAAGUCCAGGGAACUCAGGAAACCCUCAGAGGAAGUCAAGAAGGAAUUCUGGAAUUAUCUGCCACACUUGUGUUAACAGCUCACUUUUUGGUACCUUCCCAUGGAAAACUAUUUUGCUGGAAAAAAUUGUGUAGGGAGUACUGUGCAAGCAAGCAGAGAAGUGAUGGUUACAUAGGAGCAUCUGCAGGCAGGACUAAAUUCCUGAUGGUUACCAGAGAUGCACUGAUAUGCAACUCUACCUCUCUGAGUCUUGUGAGACAUUCUGUGGAAUAUCUUUUUAAUGGUAAUAGCCACAAGUUAUAAGGUGUGCCUUGAGACAAGAGGGCUUUUAUAUACUCUUAUCCACAUUACAAACUGUGGUACGUACUUGUGGUAUGAGCUGGUGAGUGUUAGUCUUGAUAGAGUUUAGUCAUUAUUUCAGCUUCAGUGCUUUUUAAUCAUGCCUCCCCUGUCAAACAUAGCAAAUAUUUCCAUUCUUCACGCAGGUAGUUUUUCCCUGUAGCUCUUCAAAACGAAACAGAGCAAUAGGAUUAUUUCAGUUCAUCUGUAUGUUUGUGCAUCUCUGCUCUUAGCACAGAGCACACAAAUCUAUGUCUUUUGGGGACCUGUUGCUAUUGCUCUAGCUACCUGAUACUCCACAAUACCUGUAAACGGAAGUCCACUGGAGUGUUUAGGGCUGGAAGAACACUUAAAAGGGGAAAGAAACCUGUAUGGUAAAUUGUAUUUAAGUCUAGUUGCUGGGGGAUUUGCAAUUUCUAACCAAAGCAAAGCAAUAGUGGGUAACUUUGAAGAGAAGGUGCCCGAAAUUUCACUAGGAUCAGCAAUGCUUAGGUUGGGGUCUGGAGGCAGUAACUGUGGAGUUCUCCUGAUUUGCUCCCUGAUGUAUGUUCUAGUCUGGGACAAGUAAUCUACUGAACCUCUAGCUUUGGUUUUCCUGUUUGUAAAAUGAAGGUGUUCACAGUGAUUAAGAUAAGGAACAUUAUGCGAAUGCUGGGGAAGAAGGGAGUGAGAUGCUCCUUCUCAACACCAGUCCUUAGAGGAAUGUAAUUCUGGCAUUAUCUGAAAUCUCUUCCAAUCUCCGCUGUUUCACUUUUCUUGCCCUUUCUCCAUUGAGUUAACCUUUUUAUUAAGUCUCCAAACUGGCUUAAAUUCUCCAUAGACUUAAAGUGAGAUGCCAGUAGAGGGUCUGAUCCUUUAAUUCCAUAGGAGCUGAAACAGAGUGGAAGAUGUUCUAGGAGAGGGCCUGAUCUGCAGUGUCAGAAAGGGCUAGAGGAAAAAGAGGAGCUCCAGAGAAAACUUUUGAAUCAUGUAUAAGUAGGAAUAGAAUGUAAGAUAUAUUUCAUGAAACGAUUCUCUACAGAGGAUAGGUGGAAAAGCAAUACCAUCAUGCACCUGAUUUACCGUGAUGUGUUCCGUAGCAGGCUGUUGUUGGAUGACUUUCUGGACUUUCUUGUCCUGGCGUUCCGCGAUAUGCCAUUCUUCUUCAGUCUCCUGUGUCUUACUGUUAUUUUAAUAUUUCCUUUGGAUGUCUCUCACCUCCUAUGAGUAACUAACCGCAGGCUAUUCUGAACUCUUCUGUAUCUGAGGCAAAGUUUUAAUAUCUUUGAUAUUGGAGAUUCUUUCCAUUACAACUCUGUAAUGUUUUCUCUUUGUAUUUAUUGACAUGUGCACUAAAGAAAACAAUGUUAAGCCCUGUUAUGUAAAAAUUCUUUGGAGUAUUAUUCCAUAUAUUGAAAUUUAUAGUUCCCUAUAUAGAUUGCUUUGAAACCUCAACAAUAGAUUUGAAGAAAUUUUUGCACACAGUUUUACUAUUAGUCUGGAAGCUAUUUUUAUACAUAUUC